rnacentral:rRNA from 1 species
CCAGCAGCCGCGGUAAUUCCAGCUCCAAUAGCGUAUAUUAAAGUUGUUGCAGUUAAAAAGCUCGUAGUUGGAUUUCUGUUUUGGAUGUCCGGUCCGCUUCCUUUGGGAGUGUGUACUUAUGGAUAUUCAAGACAUUUUUUGUGAGGCUGCCUUUCUGCCAUUAAGUUGGUGGGUUGGUGGACUUACAUCGUUUACUGUGAAAAAAUUAGAGUGUUUAAAACAGGCGUUUGCUCAUUUGAAUACAUUAGCAUGGAAUAAUAAGAUACGGCCUUGGUGGUCUAUUUUGUUGGUUUGCACACCAGGUAAUGAUUAAUAGGGACAGUUGGGGGUAUUCAUAUUUCAGC